UACGAAGGUGGCAAGCGUUGUUCGGAUUUACUGGGCGUACAGCGCGCGCAGGCGGUUGCGUAUGUGAGCGGUGACAUCCGCGGGCUCAACCCGCGGCGGCCCGCUUACACAGCGCGACUGGAGGCAGGGAGAGGGAUGUGGAAUACCCGGUGGAGCGGUGAAAUGCGUAGAGAUCGGGUGGAACACCAGCGGCGAAGGCGGCAUCCUGGCCCUGUACUGACGCUGAGGAGCGAAAGCGUGGGGAGCAAACAGG
rnacentral:rRNA from 1 species